UUAUUUGAGAGUUUGAUCCUGGCUCAGGAUGAACGCUGGCGGCGUGCCUAACACAUGCAAGUUGAGCGAUUUACUUCGGUAAAGAGCGGCGGACGGGUGAGUAACGCGUGGGUAACCUACCCUGUACACACGGAUAACAUACCGAAAGGUAUGCUAAUACGGGAUAAUAUAUUUGAGAGGCAUCUCUUGAAUAUCAAAGGUGAGCCAGUACAGGAUGGACCCGCGUCUGAUUAGCUAGUUGGUAAGGUAACGGCUUACCAAGGCGACGAUCAGUAGCCGACCUGAGAGGGUGA
rnacentral:rRNA from 1 species